GCGACGCUGGCGGCAGGCUUAACACAUGCAAGUCGAGCGGGUGUAGCAAUACAUCAGCGGCAGACGGGUGAGUAACGCGUGGGAACGUACCUUUUGGUUCGGAACAACCCAGGGAAACUUGGGCUAAUACCGGAUAAGCCCUUACGGGGAAAGAUUUAUCGCCGAAAGAUCGGCCCGCGUCUGAUUAGCUAGUUGGUGAGAUAAUGGCUCACCAAGGCGACGAUCAGUAGCUGGUCUGAGAGGAUGAUCAGCCACAUUGGGACUGAGACACGGCCCAAACUCCUACGGGAGGCAGCAGUGGGGAAUAUUGGACAAUGGGGGCAACCCUGAUCCAGCCAUGCCGCGUGAGUGAUGAAGGCCCUAGGGUUGUAAAGCUCUUUUGUGCGGGAAGAUAAUGACGGUACCGCAAGAAUAAGCCCCGGCUAACUUCGUGCCAGCAGCCGCGGUAAUACGAAGGGGGCUAGCGUUGCUCGGAAUCACUGGGCGUAAAGGGUGCGUAGGCGGGUCUUUAAGUCAGGGGUGAAAUCCUGGAGCUCAACUCCAGAACUGCCUUUGAUACUGAGGAUCUUGAGUCCGGGAGAGGUGAGUGGAACUGCGAGUGUAGAGGUGAAAUUCGUAGAUAUUCGCAAGAACACCAGUGGCGAAGGCGGCUCACUGGCCCGGUACUGACGCUGAGGCACGAAAGCGUG
rnacentral:rRNA from 1 species